ACAAGGUAGUUAGGGGCGCACGGUGGAUGCCUAGGCACUGAUGGCCGAUGAAGGGCGUGGCAAGCUGCGAUAAGCCGCGGGGAGCUGCAAGCGGGCUUCGAUCCGCGGAUUCCCGAAUGGGGAAACCUGGCUCGGCAAACCCGAGUCACCUAGCCUUUGCUAGGGGGAUACCCGGCGAAGUGAAACAUCUCAGUAGCCGGAGGAAAGGAAAUCGAAAGAGAUACCCCAAGUAGUGGUGAGCGAAAGGGGUGUAGCCUAAACCGAUCGCGUGCUAAAGCCUGCGGGCGUUGCGCGGUCGGGGUUGAGGGAGCGUACCGGGCCUAACCGCAGGUAGGCCGGGCAGUUACAAACCGCAUGGUUAGUCGAACGGUGUUGGAAAAGCCGGCCAUAGAGGGUGAAAGCCCCGUAGGCGAAAGUCAUGCGGCUGCCUGGGUGCGCAUCCCAAGUAAGCCGGAGCACGCGGAAUUCUGGCUGAAUCCGGGCCGACCACGGUCCAAGGCUAAAUACCAUCAGUGACCGAUAGCGCAUAGUACCGAGAGGGAAAGGUGAAAAGAACCCCUGGCGGGGAGUGAAAUAGACCUGAAACCGUGUGCCCACAAGCUGUCGGAGCCUGACUUGAAGGCAACUUCAAGCCGGGUGACGGCGUGCCUAUUGAAGAAUGAGCCGGCGAGUUGUAGCGCGUGGCGAGGUUAAGGGCGUAAACGUCCGAAGCCGUAGGGAAACCGAGUCCGAAUAGGGCGCUAGUCGCGCGUUGCAGACCCGAAGCCGUACGAUCUAUCCAUGGCCAGGUUGAAGUCCGGGUGACACCGGAUGGAGGACCGAACCAGUUGGUGUUGCAAAACCAUUGGAUGAGCUGUGGAUAGGAGUGAAAAGCUAAUCGAGUACGGUGAUAGCUGGCUCUCCCCGAAAUGCAUUUAGGUGCAGCCUCCUGUGUUCAGUGGUGGAGGUAGAGCACUGGAUGGGUGAGGGGGGUGAUGACCCUACCGAGCUCAACUAAACUCCGAAUGCCACCACUUAAUAGCAGGGGAGUGAGACCGUGGGGGAGAAGCUUCACGGUCGAAAGGGAAACAGCCCAGACCGACGGCUAAGGUCCCAAACGCGAGCUAAGUGUUAUAAGGAUGUGGAAGAGCUUAGACAGCCAGGAGGUUGGCUUAGAAGCAGCCAUCCUUGAAAGAGUGCGUAAUAGCUCACUGGUCGAGCGCUUCUGCGCCAAAAAUGUAGGGGGCUAAGCUCGCGACCGAAGCCUCGGAUCCGAAGACUUAGGUCUUUGGAUGGUAGGGGAGCGUUCCUGUCGGGUCGAAGUCGCAUCGUGAGGUGCGGUGGACUGGCAGGAAGUGAGAAUGCCGGUAUGAGUAGCGUUAAAGCAAGUGAAAGACUUGCUCACCGGAAGCCCAAGGGUUCCUGGGGAAGGGAAUCCGCCCAGGGUUAGGCGGGGCCUAAGGCGUAGCCGAAGGGCGAAGCUGAUGGACAGCCGGUAGACAUUCCGGCCCCACCUUGGCAACGUUUGUACCGAAGGGGUGACGCAGGGAGCUAGGCGCGCUGGGCGAUGGAAUGCCCAGUCCAAGGGAGUAGGGGGAGCUUUCAGGCAAAUCCGGAAGCUCGUUAACCCCGAGACCUGAUGGGGAGCCUUAAUUAUAAGGCGAAGGCGUUGACGCUGCACUGCCAAGAAAAGCCUCUAGGGAGGAGUCAGGGUGCCCGUACCCUAAACCGACACAGGUGGGCUGGUUGAGCAGACUGAAGGUGGACGGGAUAACUCUCGCUAAGGAACUCUGCAAGUUGACCCCGUAACCUAGGGAGAAGGGGUGCCCGCGUUAGGUGAACUCUUUUACAGGGCUAGCCGAGGCGGGUGGCAGAAACCAGGUCCAGGCGACUGUUUAAUAAAAACACAGGGCUCUGCUAAAGGCGAAAGCCGAUGUAUAGGGCCUGACACCUGCCCGGUGCCGGAAGGUUAAGGGGAGGGGUUAGCCAAAGCGAUUUGGCGAAGCUCCAAACUGAAGCCCCGGUAAACGGCGGCCGUAACUAUAACGGUCCUAAGGUAGCGAAAUUCCUUGUCGGGU
rnacentral:rRNA from 1 species